rnacentral:lncRNA from 1 species
AGGACACAACAACACUGCUGCUGCUGCUGCUGCAGACAUUUGUUCUGUCCCUUGCCCCAGCCACUCUUCUCUACAUGUCCCCAAGAGGGAAAUUGGGCACGAAGCCAGCCUGAAGCAGCUCUAUAGGGCUGGAUUUCUAAGAACAGCCAAGCUUUAUCCUCCUAGCGUGGGAAAGGCGCGGGCAGCCGGCGUCGGCCGCGGGGAUU